rnacentral:lncRNA from 1 species
UUUUUUGCAAUCGUAACUGACCAUCAACAUUAAUCUACACAUAAUCAACAAUUGAUAUGGAGUAAUCUUCUCCGAUUAAUCUAAAGGUAAUUGAUAUAAGUCCAUUAUGUUCUCAAUUUUCUCAAUUUCCUUUGCUUAUUUCUUCUCUUUCUCUCUUUCUCUCACCAAGCCCUAAUGUUUGCACUGAAUUUCAAUUCCCAAACCUUCAGUCUUUUUCUCGCCAAUCCCGAAUGAAUGCUAAUCCGCAUCCGCCACCAUCACCACCACCAUAUGAAUGAAUGCUAAUUUCUAAACAUUCGGUCUUUCUCUCGCCAAUCUCUAUCCCUCUCCCUGUCUCUCUGUCUCUAUCAAGAGUUGAUGAUUUGAUCUGAUGAAUACGAUAUCCUCAAUAUCUUCCCCAAAGUUGAUCAUUCUAAGGUAUUCUUUAUGUGAUUUUAUUCAAAAAAAAUUUAACUAAUUUAAGUUUGAGUAUUAAUCGCUUGUUGGAUUAUGUUCAAUUUUAAUUUGACCUAAUUUUACUUUAUUUUGGUGGUCUUAUGAAUAUGAUUUUUGGUCUAUGCGUUCUUAUCUGUUGGCGAUAGAUAUAUCUCUAAUCUAUAUACCAAAUGCUUUUGUUCAACAAUGUCUAUUGUUUAGGGGUUGCUUGUAAUACACAAAAUUCAUCCAUGUUUUCCAUUUGUCAAAGUAGAAUUCACAGGAUCUAUUUGUUUAACUCGAAUUAUAGACAUUGCUCACAACAUCUAUUUCUUUUAACAGGCUGGAUUUGGAUACUAGAGUACAGGUUUUCACAUGUUUUAAUCUUUGUAUUGUUAUUGUUAAAUUUAAUCUAUUUCUGUUAUUAUAGUAUGCAUUGAAUUUGGAGGAGUAAGAUAUUGCAAAGCAAUUGAGAACAAACUCAAUGAGGCUUGAUAAUCUUAUCUAUUAACUUAUCCAUUUCAUUCCAUUCAAUUAUUUUGUCAUUCUAUUUCAUUCCAUUCAACCAAACAAACCUUAAAGAUUCAUGUAACUGUCAAAUAUAUCAAAAGCAUCCAUUCAGAACGACAAAUUUGAACAAAAUUUUGGACCUAAAUCAAUAUUAUCAAUUUGUUUUUAAUGAUGAUCACAAUUAAAUAUGUAAAACUUUUGAAAUUUUGAAAAAAAAACCUUUGCAAUUUUUCAUGAGCAUAUGAAUGACAUACGUUAACUUAACGUUCUAAUAUUUUCUAUAUAAGGUUGAAGCUGAAGUGAUUAAGCAACAUGAAACAAAGAAUGAAUUAUCUAUAGAAAGUGAAGCUCAAGAAAUAAAAUUUAUUUGGUUUAUCUAUAAAAAAGAUUAAAGAAUUGAAUUAAUAUAAUAAUGCAAAUAUGUUGUAUUUUGCUUAAUAGAUGAAAUAAAAUAUAACAAUUUAAUAUGUUCAAAUUUCCUAUAAUGUUUGCGUGAAAUGAUAAUAAGAGGAGUUGGAACUCAUGGAAGUAAGGGAAAAAGAUAUAAUUUAUUUGGUUUAUUUAUUUUUGCUUAUUUCUUAAAAAUACUUAUUAACAAAAUAAAAGAUCCAAAAUUAUUUGAUAAAAUAGGUAUAAUAAAUGAUGAAACAUGUGUUUUUAAUACUGUAAUGCUUCAAACUUUAUAAAAAAAUAUAAUGUUUUCAUUAAUAAUUAUUAUUCUUAUAGUUUAUAUGUUAUAUUAUUUUGUAACCCGUGGAUUCCACGGGUUGUAACCUAGUNNNNNNNNNNNNNNNNNNNNNNNNNNNNNNNNNNNNNNNNNNNNNNNNNNNNNUAUAUAUAUAUAUAUAUCUUAUUACUUUAAUAAACAUUUACCCUAAAAUGCUGAAUUUUAAGAGGUACAACCUCUUAUACAAUAUGUAUAAUAACUUUAUGCUUUAAAAAAUCAUGAAUCUGUCAACGUUUGAAAAUAUCAAAUAGAACGAUAAAAUUUUGAAUGGUUCAAAGUUUGACCAAGUACUACGGAUAUCCGAUUGAAUCGGUCUUCAUGAAACCUAAAAUACGCCGUCCAUAACUUAGCCUCUACUACAACCACUCACCGCUACUGUUACAGGCUUCUGCAACCGCCACCAUGAUCUAUACCCCAAUCUCCUUAACGCCUCGUUCCCGAGUUUAACAAAAGAAAAGAAGAGAAGAGAAAAUAAAGUCACGAGAGAAAAGAAGAGAACGGAAAGGAAAACAAAAUUUUCUUUUGUGUUCCCGAGUUGGAGAGAAGUGGAAGGAAAAUGAGUCAUUUUGUUCUUUCUUUCCAAAUCCUCCAAAAUCGGAAGGAAAGUUAGGAAGGAAAGUGAUCCUCUCAUUUCCCUUCACUUCCUUCCACUUCUCUCCUUUAAUGAAACUUGGAAACACCAAUUUAUUUUUAUUUUCUUCUAAUUUCCACUCAUUUCCUUUCCUUUCUUUACUUAAGUUGAACUCGGGAACGGGUGUAAAUGAUGACAUAUCUCUCUCUCUCACACACACACUGUCUCUCUCUCUCUCUCUCUCUCAUAUUUUCCCUCCAAACACGAAUGUUGUUCUCCCCCUUCAUAUCUAUGAUCAGUUAACACCACCGCCUCUUACUUCCCUAACCGGUGACCUCCACCACCACACACCGUCGUCUACACCACCAUCAUCAGUUUUUAUCUAUUUAAUAUCUUUUUGAUUUAUGUUUUAAAUAGAUUUUUAGGAAUCCAAUGAAGUCAGCAGCGCCAUUACCACAGUCUUUUCCAGUCACCGCCCUCAGGUAAUAUUUCACAUAAUCUCUAUUUCACCUUCUUUCUUUCUCUUAUCUUCUUUUAUUGCAGUCACCAUCGCACACCACCCUCUUCUCUCUAAGAAACCGAAGACACCCCAAAUCUAAACCCUAGAAACCAUAGAAUAUCAGACCAUCUUCGUAGGGUAAAAUAUCAUAUAUGUUGUUUCAUGAUCUAAAAGAUGUGAACUUGAAAAUCUUUUAGGGGUUUUGAUUUGCAGGUUGUUUUUUGGGUUUUCCCUGAUGUCUGCCACCACCAUCCAAGUAGGUAAUUCUCAAAUGAAUCAUCCAUUCUUUUUAAUAGCCCACUCCUAACUUAAAACAUUAUUAAAUUUUUGUGAAGGAUUUUGUGCUAAGUUUUAUGCUUUGACUAAGGAUUUUGGGAUUCUGACUACAUGAUUUCUGGAAAUAAGUUUUCAUCCUCAAAGAAAAUAUUAAAAAAAAACCAGGUUUGAUCUUGGCAAAUUUAUUUUUCAUUUUUGUUGGUUUUCUGGGGAUUAUACAUGUAACUAUCAGUCUAUCAUUCACAUUGAUUAUUGAUACUCUUAUGUGUACAAGGAAAUUGCAUAUAAAGUGUUUGUAGAAAUGCUUGAGAGAGAGCAUAACAAUAGGCGAGUAUAAGCUCUACAAAAUCUUUCUUUAUGCUCUUUUUUUUUUUUACAAAAAUCUAUUCCUGAUUGCGUCUAUAGUUCUUAUUAUAUGGCAUUAUCAAUUUUAAGACACUGCAUAUGUAUGGAAACAUUCUCGCUUAAGAACAUUUUUCAAGCAUGUAUGGAAGUACCUUUUAUUUUUUAAUUAUUUAGCAACAUGUUUCCUUCUUUUUCCCCCCUAUAUUAUUGUUGUUUUGCUCUGUACUUUAAUUAUUAAAACAUUGAUGUUAAGAUCUGGGAAGAUUUGAUGUGGGUUUUGUUUAUUUAAUUGAUUUAUUUUGUGGGUUUUGCUUAUUUCAUUAUUUGUUUUAUGGGUUUGAUUACAAGUUUGAAACAAAGAUCUUGAACCCAAAGAUGGUUGUAUAUGUCUGGUGGUUGUCGAGGCCAACAAAAAUAAUAACCCUAAAUAUUACACACUAAAAUAGUGUAUAGUGGUAAAGGGGUCGAAUCCACGAAGAUUGGUUCAAUUUAUAACUCUAUGAAAAAUCUCUUUGUAAAAAUACUUAUAAAAUAACAAUAAAAAUAAAAUGGGGGGUUUUGGUGUUUUGAAAUACUUGAAACAAACUAGAAUUAACUAUGAUUUAAAUAGACAAUUUCAACAAAAAUAAGGGUGUGAUGUAAAAUCAAUAAGG